AUUGAACGCUGGCGGCAGGCUUAACACAUGCAAGUCGAGCGGAGAGAGGUAGCUUGCUACUGAUCUUAGCGGCGGACGGGUGAGUAAUGCUUAGGAAUCUGCCUAUUAGUGGGGGACAACAUUUCGAAAGGGAUGCUAAUACCGCAUACGUCCUACGGGAGAAAGCAGGGGAUCUUCGGACCUUGCGCUAAUAGAUGAGCCUAAGUCGGAUUAGCUAGUUGGUGGGGUAAAGGCCUACCAAGGCGACGAUCUGUAGCGGGUCUGAGAGGAUGAUCCGCCACACUGGGACUGAGACACGGCCCAGACUCCUACGGGAGGCAGCAGUGGGGAAUAUUGGACAAUGGGCGGAAGCCUGAUCCAGCCAUGCCGCGUGUGUGGAGAAGGCCUUAUGGUUGUAAAGCACUUUAAGCGAGGAGGAGGCUACUUUAGUUAAUACCUAGAGAUAGUGGACGUUACUCGCAGAGUAAGCACCGGCUAACUCUGUGCCAGCCGCCGCCGUAA
rnacentral:rRNA from 1 species